GACGAACGCUGGCGGCGUGCUUAACACAUGCAAGUCAAACGGUAAGGCCCUUCGGGGUACACGAGUGGCGAACGGGUGAGUAACACGUGGGUGAUCUGCCCUGCACUUCGGGAUAAGCCUGGGAAACUGGGUCUAAUACCGGAUAGGACCACUGCCUGCAUGGGUGGUGGUGGAAAGCUUUUGCGGUGUGGGAUGGGCCCGCGGCCUAUCAGCUUGUUGGUGGGGUGAUGGCCUACCAAGGCGACGACGGGUAGCCGGCCUGAGAGGGUGACCGGCCACACUGGGACUGAGAUACGGCCCAGACUCCGACGGGAGGCAGGAGUGGGGAAUAUUGCACAAUGGGCGCAAGCCUGAUGCAGCGACGCCGCGUGAGGGAUGACGGCCUUCGGGUUGUAAACCUCUUUCAGCACCGACGAAGCGCAAGUGACGGUAGGUGCAGAAGAAGGACCGGCCAACUACGUGCCAGCCGCCGCGGUAA
rnacentral:rRNA from 1 species